AACGUAGGGUGCGAGCGUUGUCCGGAAUUACUGGGCGUAAAGAGCUCGUAGGUGGUUUGUCGCGUUGUUCGUGAAAUCUCACGGCUUAACCGUGAGCGUGCGGGCGAUACGGGCAGACUAGAGUACUGAAGGGGAGACUGGAAUUCCUGGUGUAGCGGUGGAAUGCGCAGAUAUCAGGAGGAACACCGGUGGCGAAGGCGGGUCUCUGGGCAGUAACUGACGCUGAGGAGCGAAAGCGUGGGGAGCGAACAGG
rnacentral:rRNA from 1 species